UACGUAGGGUGCAAGCGUUAAUCGGAAUUACUGGGCGUAAAGCGUGCGCAGGCGGGCUUUAAGCCAGACGUGAAAUCCCCGGGCUUAACCUGGGAAUGGCGUUUGGGACUGGAAGUCUGGAGUGCGGCAGAGGAGACUGGAAUUCCUGGUGUAGCAGUGAAAUGCGCAGAUAUCAGGAGGAACACCGGUGGCGAAGGCGGGUCUCUGGGCCGAUACUGACGCUGAGGAGCGAAAGCGUGGGGAGCGAACAGG
rnacentral:rRNA from 1 species